rnacentral:rRNA from 1 species
UACGUAGGGUCCGAGCGUUGUCCGGAAUUACUGGGCGUAAAGAGCUCGUAGGUCGGUUUGUCGCGUUGUCCGUGAAAACUCACAGCUCAACUGUGGGCGUGCGGGCGAUACGGGCAGACUGGAGUACUGCAGGGGGAGACUGGAAUUCCUGGUGUAGCGGUGGAAUGCGCAGAUAUCAGGAGGAACACCGGUGGCGAAGGCGGCUCUC